rnacentral:tmRNA from 1 species
GGGGGUGCCCUGGUUUCGACGGGAGAAGAAUUUGAUGUGCGGGCGUGUCCAGGAUGAUCACUAGGCCUGGUAAAAAAUGUGAUCACAAGUUAUUUGAAAACAAUAACUACGCUCUAGCAGCUUAAUUGCCGCUGGUGAGGGGCCUGCACCGAUAACAAAAAGCAGGUAAAGAGAGUCGGUGGUCUCUCGUAAAAAAAAGCCACCUUCAGAUCAGUCGGUACACUGAAUAAAAAAGAACCGAGGUUUCGUCCAUUUUACAAAGGUGGGCUAGUGCUGCUGUCGCACUAUAACUUGAAAGCUACACACGUAGUCCGUCAUCUUUGACUUUUUUCGGACGCGGGUUCGAUUCCCGCCACCUCCACCA